rnacentral:tRNA from 1 species
GGGCCCGUAGUUAAGUGGUACAACGGUGCAUUCGCAUUGCACAGACGCGAGUUCGAUUCUCGCCGGGUCCA